UGGGGAAUAUUGCACAAUGGAGGGAACUCUGAUGCAGCGACGCCGCGUGAACGAAGAAGGCUUUCGAGUCGUAAAGUUCUUUUAUAUGGGAAGAUAAUGACGGUACCAUAAGAAAAAGCCCCGGCUAACUACGUGCCAGCAGCCGCGGUAAUACGUAGGGGGCUAGCGUUGUCCGGAAUCACUGGGCGUAAAGGGCUCGCAGGCGGAAAUGCAAGUCAGGUGUAAAAGGCAGUAGCUUAACUACUGUAAGCAUUUGAAACUGCAUAUCUUGAGAAGAGUAGAGGUAAGUGGAAUUUUUAGUGUAGCGGUGAAAUGCGUAGAUAUUAAAAAGAAUACCGGUGGCGAAGGCGACUUACUGGGCUCAUUCUGACGCUGAGGAACGAAAGCGUGGGUAGCAAACAGG
rnacentral:rRNA from 1 species